rnacentral:rRNA from 1 species
UAGUAAGCGGAGGACAAGAAACUAAACAGGAUCCCCAUAGUAAUGGCGAAUGAACAGGGAUGAGCUCAGCAUGGAAAUUGGGGCCUGUGGCUUUGACUGUAAUCUUGUGAGGCAUUGCCAAACAGAGGCGCAGAUGUAAGUCUCUUGGAAAAGAGCAUCAAUGAGGGUGAGAGUCCUGCUUGUCAUUUGCAGCCCCCCUGUGCACGGUGUGCCUUCUAAGAGUCACGUUCCUCGGGAUUGGAGCGCAAAGUGGGUGGUAACUUUCAUCUGAAGCUAAACAAUGGUUUGGGACCGAUAGGAAACAAGUACCAUGAGGGAAAGGUGAAAAGGACUUUGGAAAGAGAGUUAAAAGUGCCUGAAAUUGCUGAAGGGGAAGCGAAUGGAACCAGUGGUGCUGGGUGAGAUUGUCACAUGCUCCAGGGAUUGGUUGCUGCAUCAGCGCAAGCGAUCUGGCAAUUGUUGAACUGCACGUGUGUGGUGUGUCUUGCCUUGUGUGUCAUUGUGGGUUUAUGCAUUAAGACAAUUCAAAGUGCAUGGCAAUAUGUUUCUGAAUCUAUGAAUGUGAUUUGUUAUGUUUAUGCAUAAGCUUCUUGCUGUCUGUCUGGCUGCAGAGCUCGCCGUCCCCAUUUUUUGGAGAGAUGAGUUGAGCAUUCCUUCUGCACAGAUUCUUGGCUAAAC